UACGAGGGGGGCGAGCGUUGUUCGGAAUCACUGGGCUUAAAGGGUGCGUAGGCGGCGCGACAAGUUGGGUGUGAAAUCCCUCGGCUCAACCGAGGAACUGCGCCCAAAACUGUCGUGCUCGAGGGAGACAGAGGUGAGCGGAACUUAGGGUGGAGCGGUGAAAUGCGUUGAUAUCCUAAGGAACACCGGUGGCGAAAGCGGCUCACUGGGUCUCUUCUGACGCUGAGGCACGAAAGCUAGGGUAGCGAACGGG
rnacentral:rRNA from 1 species